rnacentral:rRNA from 1 species
UACGUAGGGUGCGAGCGUUGUCCGGAAUUAUUGGGCGUAAAGAGCUUGUAGGCGGUUUGUCGCGUCGGCCGUGAAAACCUGGGGCUCAACUCUGGGCGUGCGGUCGAUACGGGCAUCACUGGAGUUCGGCAGGGGAGACUGGAAUUCCUGGUGUAGCGGUGAAAUGCGCAGAUAUCAGGAGGAACACCGGUGGCGAAGGCGGGUCUCUGGGCCGAUACUGACGCUGAGGAGCGAAAGCAUGGGUAGCGAACAGG